AUGCCUAUUGCUUGUUGUGAUGAUUAUGAUUGGGAAGAUAAUGAUACUUCUUAUGAUCUUGAAAAUCUUUUUGGCACUUGCUUGGAAGAAUAUGAUAAUUGCUAUACUAUUGGUGCUAUCCAUACUAUUGAUGAUGAAAGUGAUUAUGCUUAUGAUAUGAAAAGGCCCAAGCUUGGGGAUGCUAUGUUUGAUGAAGAUGAUGUUUUUGAGAAUAUAUUUGCUGCAAUUAAUGUUAGUCCCAAGCUUGGGGAAGCUAUGAUUAAUGAAGAUGAUAUUUGUAGUGUCUCAAGUUUUGAUAUGCAAAUUUAUUAUGAUGAUAGUAUGCCUCCUACUUAUGAUAAUUAUGAAAGUGGAUUUGGAGAGGUCAUGACUUUAUUUAGUAAUGAUUCCACGAUCUUGGAAGAGGUUUCAAUCGAUUAUGAUGAGAACAUAGUUGCUACUUAUGAUAAUUAG
rnacentral:rRNA from 1 species